UACGUAGGGACCAAGCGUUGUCCGGAAUCAUUGGGCGUAAAGAGCGUGUAGGCGGCUUGUUAAGUCUUGCGUGAAAUCUCGGGGCUCAACCCCGAGCGGUCGUGAGAAACUGGCAGGCUAGAGUGCGGGAGAGGAGAGUGGAAUUCCUGGUGUAGCGGCGAAAUGCGCAGAUAUCAGGAAGAACACCCGUGGCGAAGGCGGCUCUCUGGAACGCAACUGACGCUGAGACGCGAAAGCGUGGGGAGCAAACAGG
rnacentral:rRNA from 1 species